rnacentral:rRNA from 1 species
UGACAGGUGUGCAUGGUUGUCGUCAGCUCGUGUCGUGACGAUGUUGGGUUAAGUCCCGCAACGAGCGCAACCCUUGUCAUUAGUUGCUACGAAAGGGCACUCUAAUGAGACUAGCCGGUGACAAACCGGAGGAAAGGUGGGGAUGACGUCAAGUCCUCAUGGCCCUUAUAGGUGGGGCUACACACGUCAUACAGUGGCUGGUACAAAGGGUUGCCAACCCGCGAGGGGGAGCCAAUCCCAUAAAGCCAGUCGCAGUCCGGAUCGCAGUCUGCAACUCGACUGCGUGAAGUCGGAAUCGCUAGUAAUCGUGGAUCAGCAUGUCACGGUGAAUACGUUCCCGGGUCUU